rnacentral:rRNA from 1 species
AAGGAAGAUUAAUACAAGAUGGCAUCAUGAGUCCGCAUGUUCACAUGAUUAAAGGUAUUCCGGUAGACGAUGGGGAUGCGUUCCAUUAGAUAGUAGGCGGGGUAACGGCCCACCUAGUCUUCGAUGGAUAGGGGUUCUGAGAGGAAGGUCCCCCACAUUGGAACUGAGACACGGUCCAAACUCCUACGGGAGGCAGCAGUGAGGAAUAUUGGUCAAUGGGCGAGAGCCUGAACCAGCCAAGUAGCGUGAAGGAUGACUGCCCUAUGGGUUGUAAACUUCUUUUAUAAAGGAAUAAAGUCGGGUAUGGAUACCCGUUUGCAUGUACUUUAUGAAUAAGGAUCGGCUAACUCCGUGCCAGCAGCCGCGGUAAUACGGAGGAUCCGAGCGUUAUCCGGAUUUAUUGGGUUUAAAGGGAGCGUAGAUGGAUGUUUAAGUCAGUUGUGAAAGUUUGCGGCUCAACCGUAAAAUUGCAGUUGAUACUGGAUAUCUUGAGUGCAGUUGAGGCAGGCGGAAUUCGUGGUGUAGCGGUGAAAUGCUUAGACAUCACGAAGAACUCCGAUUGCGAAGGCAGCCUGCUAAGCUGCAACUGACAUUGAGGUCUCGAAAGUGUGGGUAUCAAACAGGAUUAGAUACCCUGGUAGUCCACACGGUAAACGAUGACAUACUCGCUGUUUGCGAUAUACUGCAAGCGGCCAAGCGAAAGCGUUAAGUAUUCCACCUGGGGAGUAC